AUUGAACGCUGGCGGCAGGCCUAACACAUGCAAGUCGAACGAGUGGCGGACGGGUGAGGAAUGUCGGGGAAACUGCCCGAUGGAGGGGGAUAACUACUGGAAACGGUAGCUAAUACCGCAUAACAUCGGAGGUGCACAGAUGGGAUUAGCUAGGUGGUGGGGUAACGGCUCACCUAGGCGACGAUCCCUAGAUGGUCUGAGAGGAUGACCAGCCACACUGGAACUGAGAAACGGUCCAGACUCCUACGGGAGGCAGCAGUGGGGAAUAUUGCACAAUGGGCGCAAGCCUGAUGCAGCUAUGCCGCGUGUAUGAAGAAGGCCUUCGGGUUGUAAAGUACUUUCAGCGAGGAGGCGUUACUCACAGAAGAAGCAUCGGCUAACUCCGUGCCAGCAGCCGCGGUAAUAC
rnacentral:rRNA from 1 species